rnacentral:rRNA from 1 species
UAGGGAAUCUUCGGCAAUGGACGAAAGUCUGACCGAGCAACGCCGCGUGAGUGAAGAAGGUUUUCGGAUCGUAAAACUCUGUUGUUAGAGAAGAACAAGGACGUUAGUAACUGAACGUCCCCUGACGGUAUCUAACCAGAAAGCCACGGCUAACUACGUGCCAGCAGCCGCGGUAAUACGUAGGUGGCAAGCGUUGUCCGGAUUUAUUGGGCGUAAAGCGAGCGCAGGCGGUUUCUUAAGUCUGAUGUGAAAGCCCCCGGCUCAACCGGGGGGGGUCAUUGGAAACUUGGAGACUUGAGUGCAGAAGAGGAGAGUGGAAUUCCAUGUGUAGCGGUGAAAUGCGUAGAUAUAUGGAGGAACACCAGUGGCGAAGGCGGCUCUCUGGUCUGUAACUGACGCUGAGGCUCGAAAGCGUGGGGAGCAAACAGG